rnacentral:rRNA from 1 species
UACAGAGGUCUCAAGCGUUGUUCGGAUUCAUUGGGCGUAAAGGGUGCGUAGGCGGCUUGUCGCGUCGGCUGUGAAAACCUGGGGCUCAACCCCGGGCCUGCAGCCGAUACGGGCAAGCUAGAAUUCGGUAGGGGAGACUGGAAUUCCUGGUGUAGCGGUGAAAUGCGCAGAUAUCAGGAGGAACACCAAUGGCGAAGGCAGCUCGCUGGAACGGUACUGACGCUGAGGCGCGAAAGCGUGGGGAGCAAACAGG